GAACACUACGCCCGGACCGUCCCC
rnacentral:siRNA from 1 species